CCCGACUUCAAAGGGUAGCAUUUCGGAAAUUUGAUUUAACGUUUUAGAUUGAUGAGAACUUAACGAAUCGCAUGGCUUUAAGCUGGCGAUGGUUCAUUCAAAUUUCUGCCCUAUCAACUUUCGAUGGUACGAUAGGGGCCUACCAUGGUUUCAACGGGGAACGGGGAAUAAGGGUUCGAUUCCGGAGAGGGAGCCUGAGAAACGGCCACCACAUCCAAGGAAGGCAGCAGGCGCGCAAAUUACCCAAUCCCAAUACGGGGAGGUAGUGACAAUAAAUAACGAUACAGGGCCUUUUGGUCUUGUGAUUGGAAUGAGUCCAAUUUAAAUACCUUAACGAGGAACAAUUGGAGGGCAAGUCUGGUGCCAGCAGCCGCGGUAAUUCCAGCGCCAAGAGCGUAUAUUAAAGUUAUUGCAGUUAAAAAGCUCUUAGUUGAAGUUUGGCGAUAACUAUUAAUUUAGUUAUUGCCACCUCCUUCGGGAGGUGUUACUUUGAGUAAAUGAAAGUGUUCAAAGCAGGCAACGCCUGAAUCUUAUAGCAUGGAAUAACAAAAUAAGAUGAUUUUUUAUUUGUUGGUUUCUAAAAAUCUUAAUGAUUAAUAGGAACGGUCGGGGACAUCAGUAUUCAAUAGUUAGAGGUGAAAUUCUUAGAUUUAUUGAAGACUAACUACUGCGAAAGCAUUUGUUGACUCCGAGUUAUCACCGAAUACCCCUCAAAUGCCCCUUCGUGACUGACUGCGUGACACUCUGCGUGAGGGGUCGUCCCUUUGUGAGUGACUCUCUCUCAUUGGUUCGUUUUCGUAUCUUGUUUCGGAUCCU
rnacentral:rRNA from 1 species